rnacentral:rRNA from 1 species
UGAGUAACACGUAUGCAACCUGCCUGCCACAGCCGGAUAAUCGGGAGAAAUUCCGUCUAAUACGGCAUAAUGCAUCGACGGGACAUCCUGUUGGUGCCAAAGGUUAAUUCCGGUGGCGGAUGGGCAUGCGUCGCAUUAGUUAGUUGGCGGUGUAACGGACCNCCAAGACGACGAUGCGUAGGGGUUCUGAGAGGAAGGUCCCCCACACUGGUACUGAGACACGGACCAGACUCCUACGGAAGGCAGCAG